GACGCGGUGGCCUAAUGGUUAGCGCGUUGGACUCCGGAUCAAGUGGUCCGGGCUCAAGCCCUGGCCUAGGUCACUGUGUUG